AAGUUGCUGUUGCAAGGCUCAUGUAACCACUCCUUGAUAAGCCGUUAAAUUAGUUUGGCAAUGUCCUGUCUUCCUGCCUCUUGCUGGGCCGACAUGACCAAAUAAGGAAAAAGAAGUUGAGUCACAAGGCUGAGGAAGACUACGGCCUUCAUCUUCACGACCACCAAAGGGACCAAGAUGACCCCCUAACAACAGUGCACGCAGUAGCAG